GACGAACGCUGGCGGCGUGCUUAACACAUGCAAGUCGAACGGAAAGGCCCUGCUUUUGUGGGGUGCUCGAGUGGCGAACGGGUGAGUAACACGUGAGUAACCUGCCCUUGACUUUGGGAUAACUUCAGGAAACUGGGGCUAAUACCGGAUAGGAGCUCCUGCUGCAUGGUGGGGGUUGGAAAGUUUCGGCGGUUGGGGAUGGACUCGCGGCUUAUCAGCUUGUUGGUGGGGUAGUGGCUUACCAAGGCUUUGACGGGUAGCCGGCCUGAGAGGGUGACCGGCCACAUUGGGACUGGGAUACGGCCCAGACUCCUGCGGGAGGCAGCAGUGGGGAUUAUUGCACAAUGGGCGGAAGCCUGAUGCAGCAACGCCGCGUGCGGGAUGACGGCCUUCGGGUUGUAAACCGCUUUCGCCUGUGACGAAGCGUGAGUGACGGUAAUGGGUAAAGAAGCACCGGCUAACUACGUG
rnacentral:rRNA from 1 species